rnacentral:misc_RNA from 1 species
AGCAGCCGCGGUAAUUCCAGCUCCAAUAGCGUAUAUUAAAGUUGUUGCAGUUAAAAAGCUCGUAGUUGAAUUUCGAGACCGGCUUACUGGUCGUGCUAUUGUGCGUACUGGUAUAAUCGGUUUCUCCUUUCUGACGAACUAUAAUGCCAUUAAUUUGGUGUUAUAGGGAAUCAGGACUGUUACUUUGAAAAAAUUAGAGUGUUUAAAGCAGGCUCACGCUUGAAUACAUUAGCAUGGAAUAACGGAAUAGGACGUUUGAUUCUAUUUUGUUGGUUUCUAGGAUCGACGUAAUGAUUAAUAGGGAUAGUUGGGGGCAUUAGUAUUCAAUUGUCAGAGGUGAAAUUCUUGGAUUUAUUGAAGACUAACUACUGCGAAAGCAUUUGCCAAGGAUGUUUUCAUUAAUCAAGAACGAAAGUUAGGGGAUCGAAGACAAUCAGAUACCGUCGUAGUCUUAACCAUAAACUAUGCCGACUAGGGAUCGGAUGAUGUUAAUUUUUUAAUGACUCAUUCGGCGCCUUAC